UGGGAGAAUCAAAGUCAGAGGAGGAAAAAUGAAUGAGAAAAUGAGCCGUCAGGAGCAACUCGGGUGACAGCGCUCAGCACAGCGAAAUGAAUUAGCAAGAAGGCUUGGACAGGCAGCGCGGAAGGACCGCAGAGCGAAGCGCUGGAGACUGUAAGGCAGACUGAAGAUCCUACAUACUGAAGGGUAUCAGCGUUCUCACCUGGUCUCCGAAAGAGCUGUCCUUCCUAUGAAAAAGAGAAAAAUAUUUGGAUACGGUUCGUUCUUAUCAUAUUGAGGUGACCUUGAAGACUUAUGACAAGUGGUCCAGAUCUUUCUCCUCUGGGCAUAUGGCAGUGGGCAAGCUGUAAAACCUGCUCAGGCCUCCCAUAUCCUCCCCAGAGGCAGCCAAGCAGGAUAACGGCAAAGGAAGAUCUCCAGAGGGUACAGCCCAGGGAACAUGAACCGCUAGUUAAAUGAAAAAAACAGAAAGGACUUACUGACUGAAUGGUGCCCUCCGUGGGACUGAACCCAGAAAGCAUUUUCACUUCUACAAUGGCCAAGUUGGAAGAGCUGCGAC